UCACAGACCCUACAAAAUAGUUAAGUUCAAUUUGCACAUCAAUUAUGGCCCUAAGGAAAAUUUUCAGAAAAUGGGCCCACAUGACCCAACUAGCCCAACCCGUGUGGUCCACAUGGCCAAACUGACCCAGCCUGUGCGGCCUGCAUGGUCUGGCACACGACCGUGUGGUGUUGAUAGUCCGCUUUUUGGCAUCGCUCCGUUUGCUAUUUUUCGGGUUUUUUGUUACACAUUUGAACAUUUUUUGAUGUCCACGCCACAGUCG
rnacentral:lncRNA from 1 species